GGGAGAGCAGCAAAAUAAAGGAAGGUGGAGGGUCUCUGUUUUCAGUUUCCACUAUUAUUUCCCCAUCAAAGAAAGCAAUGACCAACAAGCACUGCCCAAACCAAGUCUGUUGAUCCAUCAAUCAUACUUUCAACUCAUUUUCUUACUUUAGGUACAACCGCACUGCUGGAUACGGUGAGGGAAGGUGAAUUUUAGAGCUUGCUUACAAGUUUCUGUUCAAAGGUGUUAUUGGGCAUCUGCUGAUAGUUAAGUUGGUGUUAUGGGUUCUCGAUUCCCAUCUCAUCAGUUGAGUAGUGGCCUUUAUGUAUCUGGCCGGCCUGAGCAGCCAAAAGAAAAGACACCCACUAUGAGCUCAGCUGCCAUGCCUUAUACUGGAGGGGAUAUUAAAAAGUCUGGAGAACUUGGAAAAAUGUUUGUUACCCCAGCGGAUGGCUCGAGGUCGCGGAAAUCUGGACCGAUCAACAGCAAUGCGCCGUUGAGAACAGGGUCCUUUAGUGGUGCUACUUCUCAUUCAGGUCAACUUAAUUCAGGCAAUCGAAUGACUACUGGUGGUGCUCCUGGAUAUGUUUCUAUGAAAAAGACCAACUCUGGGCCUUUGAAUAAACAUGGAGAGCCUAUGAAGAAGUCCUCUGGUCCUCAAGCUGGAGGAGGUAAUGUUUCGUCCCGCCAAAAUUCCGGCCCUAUUCCACCAAUUCUCCCUACCACAGGCCUGAUUACAUCUGGUCCUCUAAAUUCUGCUGGAGCUCCUCGUAAAGUGUCAGGUCCCUUGGAUUCAACAGGGUCAAUCAAGCUGCAAAAUUAUUCUGUAGUUAAUAACCAAGCUGUUACUCGCAUCAACCAAUGUGAUGAAUACUCCUUCCGCAAGAGCUUCCCCAAGACAAUAUAUUGGUCCAUCAUUCUUUUAUUUUUGAUGGGAUUUAUUGCUGGUGGCUUUAUCCUUGCUGCUGUUCACAAUCCCAUUCUUCUCGUUGUUGUUGUGGUGCUCUUUGCUAUAGUUAGUCUGGUGUUCACCUGGAAUACUUGUUAUGGAAGAAAAGCUAUCAUUGGUUUCAUUUCUCAGUAUCCAGAUGCUGAGCUUAGAACUGCAAAAGAUGGCCAAUUUGUUAAAGUUUCUGGGGUAGUUACCUGUGGAAAUGUCCCUCUUGAAUCAUCGUUUCAGAAGGUUUCUAGAUGUGUAUAUACAGUCACAAGCUUAUAUGAGUACCGAGGGUGGGAUUCAAAAUCUGCCAACCCAGAACAUCGUCGAUUUUCUUGGGGUCUUCGUACGCUGGAGCGGCAUGUCUCUGAUUUCUAUAUCUCUGAUUUCCAGUCUGGAUUAAGGGCUUUGGUCAAAACUGGGUAUGGUGCUAGAGUAACCCCUUAUGUCGAAGAGUCUAUUGUUGUGGAUAUUGAUCAAUCAAAUAGGGACAUGUCACCUGAAUUUGUCAGAUGGCUGGCAGAGAGAAAUCUAUCCAGUGAUGACCGAAUAAUGCGAUUGAAAGAAGGGUAUAUAAAAGAAGGUAGCACUGUGAGUGUAAUGGGAGUUGUCCGACGGAACGAUAACGUUCUUAUGAUUGUUCCCCCUCCCGAGCCACUUUCAACAGGGUGUCAGUGGUCUAAAUGUAUUCUUCCAGCGAGUCUGGAGGGUAUCGUUUUGAGAUGCGAGGACAGUUCAAAGAUUGAUGUGAUUCCUGUGUAGCACCUUUAUGAUUAUAGAAGGGCUUUGCUGUUUUUGUUUUUAAAAAUAUGUUGGAAAACCCUCGUCUGUCAGUGGCAACAAGAAUGGCAUCUCAUCUUCACUCAGUUAACCAGAUAUGUAUUGUUUGUCGAUUUGAUUUGUUUUUUUAUUUUUGUUUCUAUUCUUCUUCCUGUAAUGGUGUUGGUGUCAUCAAAUGUGUAGAUACUGAUGAUUUUUGAGAGAGUUGUUAUGGUUAGAAAGUCAUAUAUUUGGAUACAAGAUGUGUAUUUGGUUGGUAUUAGUUAUUCUUUUGUGGCACACUUAGCCAC
rnacentral:misc_RNA from 1 species